AUUGAACGCUGGCGGCAGGCCUAACACAUGCAAGUCGAGCGGUAGCACAGAGAGCUUGCUCUCGGGUGACGAGCGGCGGACGGGUGAGUAAUGUCUGGGAAACUGCCUGAUGGAGGGGGAUAACUACUGGAAACGGUAGCUAAUACCGCAUAACGUCGCAAGACCAAAGUGGGGGACCUUCGGGCCUCAUGCCAUCAGAUGUGCCCAGAUGGGAUUAGCUAGUAGGUGGGGUAAUGGCUCACCUAGGCGACGAUCCCUAGCUGGUCUGAGAGGAUGACCAGCCACACUGGAACUGAGACACGGUCCAGACUCCUACGGGAGGCAGCAGUGGGGAAUAUUGCACAAUGGGCGCAAGCCUGAUGCAGCCAUGCCGCGUGUGUGAAGAAGGCCUUCGGGUUGUAAAGCACUUUCAGCGAGGAGGAAGGCGUUGUAGUUAAUAACUGCAGCGAUUGACGUUACUCGCAGAAGAAGCACCGGCUAACUCCGUGCCAGCAGCCGCGGUAAUACGGAGGGUGCAAGCGUUAAUCGGAAUUACUGGGCGUAAAGCGCACGCAGGCGGUCUGUUAAGUCAGAUGUGAAAUCCCCGGGCUUAACCUGGGAACUGCAUUUGAAACUGGCAGGCUAGAGUCUCGUAGAGGGGGGUAGAAUUCCAGGUGUAGCGGUGAAAUGCGUAGAGAUCUGGAGGAAUACCGGUGGCGAAGGCGGCCCCCUGGACGAAGACUGACGCUCAGGUGCGAAAGCGU
rnacentral:rRNA from 1 species